ACCUGUGUGCUUCACUCACCCCUGUGUGUUACAUCGAACUCUUCAGCUAUGGACAAAAGGUUUCUGUUGGUCAUCCUGAGUCUGCAGGUCAUCCUGCUCCUCCCAGCCUGUGCUGAUGCAGCUGAUCUGGUCACAAGACGGCCUCCUCGUAGGGGAAAACCGAAUCAAUUCAACUGUUGGAAAUUUCCCGGUGCAUGUGGCAUUUUGUCUACAGCGAGACAGAGACAGUACAACGAUCCAAACCCCUGACAUUAUCUCAGUGCAACAUAAAAUGUGACCACAAGAUGGAGUCGCAGCUUACACUUUAUGGCCAUAUGUUUGGAAGAAAUGUUCCAUUACAACUAACUGUGCAUGCUUUUAUACUAAAUGUAAGAACUAAAAAUCAAUAAACAAUUUGUUUCCCAUCCAUA